rnacentral:misc_RNA from 1 species
AAGUCGUAACAAGGUUUCCGUAGGUGAACCUGCGGAAGGAUCAUUAAUACGUUCUAAUCAACGUAAUACUCAAUCGUGAACUGUUCCCCUUGUGAUUUUAAUUGUGAGUUGGAGGCGAAGUUUUGUGUGGUCGAAUAAACAAGCAUGGAAAUUCAUGAACGACCCCUUCGCCGAGGAUUAAUAAAUCGGGAAACCGAUUCGACUCAUUCACAAGGCGUUUUUUUUUCUAUGCUUUAACCUUUUUUUACCCCAAGUAACAUUUUAUGAACUAAAUCUGUUGAAGAACUUGCUUUGAUUGCAUGGACUUCAAACAAAAUAUCGAAACUUAAGAACAACUCUUAACAACGGAUAUCUUGGUUCUC